UUGCUUGUUCAGUACGCAACUUACCCCGUAAACCUGCUAAACCGUUCAUCCUGUUUGGGGUUUUGAAACCGCACAUUGUUGCGACUACGUCAACAGCCGUUUUUAUUCAUUUAUUCCCGAAAUAGGCCUCGUAUACUUUUUUCUUUUAUCGGCGCUUCCCGUACAUUGUUUUUUAUUGUGAGCGCCUCCUUUCGCCUUUUCUCGAGAUUGUUAUUUUCGACUACGGUACGCUCAGUAAUUAAUAAAUCACCUUACAGCGCAACUGCUCUUCUUUUACGAAAUCGAGUACUUCAUCCAGAUAUUUGAUAUAAGUUUUUUCUUAAUUUUUUUAAAUUUUUUCCGGCUCGUUUGUUUUCCUUUAUGUUUGCUGGGCGAUAUAACCUUAUUCAGCCCUUCAUGUCAACUAUGAUUUUAAUGGCACGUUUGGGGACUGUUUUCUUCAAACCAACUGUAUCCUUUAUUGCACCUAAAGUUAAAAAACGACGACGUAUUAAAAAAAAAAAUACGUAAAAAACUCUUUAUUAGGCGCACUGUAUAAUUAAUUUGUGUCCUUGUGGAUAAUAUCAUUCUUUUUUAUGAGUUUGACUCUGGCUCUGGAUGAACGCGAGCAACGUGUUUUGACACAUGCGAGUAAUAUUUUAUCUAUUAAGAUACUGCGAACGGGUGAGUAAUAUUGGGUGUUUUUUUUUCAUUUUUGUGCGUAACUGCGCUUAACCAACUUGGUCGAAAAAUGAAUAUCUUCUUGGAUUAAACGUUAGUUCUUACUAGUUGAUUAUUCCUAGUUAGGUUGAGAGAUUAUCUAAUCACAUAGGGACUGAAAAGGGCCCUACCAUCGGCAGCAGUGGAGAGUAUUGGUCAAUGAGGUUUUUACCUUGAACCAGCGCUUUGCGGGGGUGAAUGUUUUUUAAACAUAGACGGCUAUGGUAGCUGUAAAACCUAUGCGCGAGUUAAAGUAAUGACUGUACUCGAGGAGAACUCCGGGCCAACAACGUGCCAGCAGCCGCGGUAAGACGUUGACGGAGAAGCGUUAUCCGUCGUGAUUGGGUGUAAAAACAGCUAGGCUGCUAAGUUAUUCGUUCCAGAAAGAAACUUCUUUAAGGUUUGUAGAACGCUUAGCUUAUGCUUGGGUUAGUUGGACGUUUGUAGAAUCGUAAGUGGAGCGGUAAAAUGCUUAGAUAAUUGCGGAAUUUCCGAAAUGUGGCAAGGCGACCUGCGACAACUAACCGACGCUGAACUGUUAAAGUAUAAGUAUCAAAGAGGAUUGGAGACCCUCGUAGUUUAUACCCUGAAUAAUGAAUGUCAAUUUUUAAAGUUAGCUAACGCAUGAACAUUCUGCCUGAAGAGUAAGGCCGCAAGGGCUAAAUUUAAAGAGAUUGGCGGGAGUUUAGAUAAAUGGUGGAAUAUGUGGUUUAAUUCGAUAAUCCGCGGGAAACCUUACCAGUGUACGGCGCCAAAUUAAGAUAACUAUGUGUCUAGUCUUAUCGAUAUUUGUUUCGUUUAGGUACUGCAUGGCUGUCAUCAGUUCGUAAUGUAGGUAUAUUUCGAACACAAUCUUUAAUAACUACUAGGUAGGUCAUAUUUACUGUGUGGUUUGAAACAUUGCAACCACCGGUUCUAUUUAUUGUAGUUUUUUCGUUUAUUUUUAAGUGAAUUGGGAGGAGAAGUCAAGUCAUUAUGGUCUUAAUAUGCUGGGCUACACACGUAUUACAGGGCUAAAGACAAUGAAUUUCGCCUUAAAGCGGUUAUUUUCUAAAAAUUAGCUCGGUUCGAAUCGUUCUUUGAAAUUGAGGAACGUGAAGUAGGAAUCAUUAGUAAUCGCAAAUAAGAUCGCUGCGAUGAAUCUUUAUAUACUUUGCACACACCGCCCAUCAUAUUCGAAGAGUUGUCGCGGUUUAAAGAUUUACGCUCGUCUCUUUACGCGAAGUGUAUUGUAGAUUAGUUUAUCUAAAAACGUGGUGGCGAUUUGGAUGAAGUUGAAACAAGGUAAUGGUAGGGGAACCUGUUGUUGGAGUACUCAAUAAUUAUUAAAUGUAUUUUAUUUGUGUUUUUUUGUAGUGUUCCCAAGCACUGAAGGGAUACCUUUUUGUAUGUUAUGUUAUGUGUUAAGAACACUAAAGCUUAGGUGAGUUUUAGAGACACGAUCUCAAGCUUAAAUAACUUGAUCCGAUUAAGAGAAACAUCUUACUAGUCGGUUAACAUACCAACCGGAUAUUUGUGAGUAGUGGCGAACGAAAUUAAAUAAACCGUAUAUUACUGUAAUGUCCUGUACACUUGAUAAUUUUGGAAUGAUUAUACCGUAGUGGGUGAAAGUCCUUUAAUGUGUUUUUA
rnacentral:rRNA from 1 species